GAUACUUCAUUUGUAUAGUAGGCUAGAGUCACCUCAUUUGCAUAGUCCAUAGUCACUUCAUUCACAUAGUAUAUUGACCAAUCCCUGCAAGAUGCAUACCAAUCACAGGGCAGGUUGCUGCCCAGUACCUGACAAAAAGUAUCAAAACUAAGUUGUUUACGGCUUAUCCAGGAAAUGUCAAUCAACCUAGACAAAGUGCCAAAUCCUCUGGGCUAGAAAACUAGGGCAAAGGUGACUUCUCAGGGCUUAGAGGAAAAAUCUCUCAAGCUGUUUUUCCAGAGAAGCAAGGCAAAAAGCUGUAUAAAAGAACUUAUUUCACCACCGAAAAAAAAAAAAAACCCCGUUGCCGUCGAGUCGAUUCCGACUCAUAGUGACCCUACAGGACAGAGUAGAACUGCCCCAUAGAGUUUCCAAGGAGUGCCUGGAAACUUUUCACCACAGUUAGUCCUUUUUAUAUUGCCCUAGAUGUUCUCAUGCUGUGUUCUGUUUUCUUCUUUGUUUUCUCUUUGCUUCAGUUGGGUUUUUCUGUUGAUGUGUUUUUUAGUUUGCUGAUCCUUUCUAAUUCUAUGCUCAAUUGGUAUUAAUACCAUGCAGUAUUGUAUUUUUCAGUUCUAGAAUGUCUGUGAUGGUUAAGGUUAUGUGCCAACUUAGCUAGGCCAUAAUUCUCAGUGGGUUGGCAGAUAUUGUGUAAUCAUCCUCCAUCUUGUGAUCUCAUGUGAGAAGCCAAUCAGUUGAAAGGAGAGUUUCCUUGGGGUGUGGCCUGCAUCUAAUACGUGAAUGUUCUGGCAAACUCUGUCUCUUCCUCAAUCCUACAUUUGCUUCAUCAUUCUCUGAACUUAGGUUCUUGUGACGUGAGCCAGCAGCCUGCAGAGUUUGGAUUCACUAGCUUCUACAACUCUCUGAGCCAGCAGCCUGCUGCCUGACCUACAGAUUUUGGUAUUGUCUGCCCCUGCUACCACGUUAGUCAGGAGAAGCCUCCAGCCUGCUGCUGACCCAUAGAUUUGGGACUUGCCAGCCUCCACAACUGUGUUGGUGGAGUUUGCGUGCUAUUCUGGUCUCUGGUCUGGUAGCACUGGAGUGUUCACCACCUUUCUCCAGGUAUAUGAUUUUCAACUUCCUCUUCUGCUGAGACUACUGUAUAUGUAAGCUUUGGUGACUUUCACGUCAUUGCAAGCUUAGAGUAUGGUACCUACUGAUGGAGAAAAGCUGGACAAUGAAUAAGAAAGGCCAAAGAAAUAUUGAUGCCUUUGAAUUAUGAUGUUGGCAGAGAGUACUGAAUAUACCAUGGACUUCCAGAAGAACGAACAAAUCUGUUGUGAAACAAGUACAGCCAGAAUGCUCCUUGGAGGUGAGGAAGAUUGUCAUAAGCUUAGACCCUUAACUGAAUGCCUUCAAGAUCAAGGUGAAGCCGGAGUUUGGAGCUAGAUUUUAUCCACAGCCUACAGGUUUGUCUUUCUUAACAUACUUACUCAAAUUUAUAGACAUUGAGUCUCAAUAACAUUGAUGCUGUCAGAAGACUUGGUUUUUAGAUUGAGAAACUAUGGGUGCCAGAGAAGGCCUUUCGAGAGCAUCGGCUACUAGAUGGAGUGGCUGCUCAGGGAGCCUAGAAGUCUGAAUUCAGGGUGCCAGCUUCAGGGAAAGGCUUUGUGUCUCUGAGCUCUGGGGGAAGGGCCUCGUCAUCAAUCUUCCCCUGCUCUAGGAGCUUCUCAGCACAGACACCCCAGGUCCAAAUGACACACUCCACUCCUGGCUCUUCUUGCUCGGUGAUAAUGAGCUCUGUAGUAUGCCAGCACAUGCUUAACAUCAUGGAAGGAAGGAGUCCUGUGUCAUGUCGCUGAGUUGCUCAAGGCAAGAAGACCCAGAGCCAGCAAGAGUGAAACAAAAAGCAAAGGAGGGUUCCUGUUCCCUGCUGGUGGGAUCUUCAAGAUAUUCCAGUAAACUCGGUCGCCUAGAAACAAGACAUGCCAACUAAAAUAUGUCAUUUUGUUACUUAUGCGUUAUAUAUAAGUCCCCAAAUACAAGAUGUAGUCAUGGCAUGGCAAAAUGUUCACAAAAGCUUCUAAACAGCUGCGGUCAAAUGAGUUCCUUCUUGGGGCCUUUUGCCUUGGUUCUAGAAAAACAGCUUGAGAGAUUUUUCCCCUAAGCCCUGAGGUUUUCUACCCCAGAGGAUUUGUUACCUUUGUCCAGGUUGAUUGACAUUUCCUGGGUAAGCUGUAAACAACUUGGUUUUGAUAGUUGUUGUCUGGUUCUGGGCAGCAGCCUGCCCUAUGAUUGGUAUGCACCUUGCAGGGACUGGUCGAUAGACUAUGCAAAUGAGGUGACUUUAGCCUAGUAUGCCAGUGAAAUGUCUGUGGACUACGGAGAGGGAAUUGAUCAGUUUGUGGCCCCACUGGGAGAAGCCAUGCCCUGAAAUUCACAAGGAGUUGUGUGUAUAUGCAGCCAGACCCACAGAGGUUUCAGAGACAGAAAGAAGCAGGAAGAGCACCAGAGAGAAGCAGAGGGAAGAAAGAAGCAGCAGAGAGAGAGGAGGCAAGGAACCUCCUAAAAGAACUAUAACAAAAGAAGAGCUGUUAUACUGAAGACAGUAGAGGCCUAGAAGGGCUCCAGUGGCUGAGCUUGGCCGUGACAGAUGGCAGGGCCAGAAGAAGCUUUUCCUCAGGGGGCCAAGAGGAGGCCUGUCCUCAGGGGGCUGAGAGGAGCCUGUCCUCAGGGGGCUGAGAGGAGCCUGUCCUCAGGGGGCUGAGAGGAGCCUGUCCUCAGGGGGCUGAGAGGAGCUUGUCAUCAGGAGCCAAGAGGAGGCCUGCACAACCGAGAGGAGCUGAGAGAACUGUUCUGCACUGAAGAAGGGAGACUUUGCUUACGUGCUUCCUGAUCCUGGCCCUGAGUGUAGCCUGUUGAUCUUGAUCCCAUGUGGUACUCUGUUACUUCCUUAAUAAACCACUUAAUUGUAAGUAUAGCUUAUGAGUUCCAUGUGGCCAUUGCAAUGGAUUAUCGAACCCAGAAAAGAAGUGGAAAGAGCCGUGGGAGGGACGGCUGGUGUCAGAAUUGGUAAAACGCCAUGGGCUGGUCCUGGUCUUUAUCCCCCCCUAAAGUUAUAUGCUACUUACCUACCAUUUUUACAACAGCCUUUGAGAUUUGAGAGCUUAAUGAAGAAGUAGAUUAUAUUUGAAAAUUUGCUUUGUAAAAUGGGCAGAUAUGAAAUUUGUAAUGUUACUUAUUAAAAAAUGAUUACUCGCCCGAUCUUGAACACUUUGCAGUGAUAUGCAGCAGAAUAGGCUACUGAAAUUCCUGCACAUUAGCUUUAUUUGAAAGUGCAGUGAAUGUCUUUAAAUAUUUAUGUUUUAUGUAUCUAUCUUAAUAGUUUUAAAAUUUUUAUCCUUGUAAGUAAGGUUUGAAAUGUCUAUUGUUUUCUGAUUUAGUUAUUCAGAUAAAUGUUUACUACCUUUUUCUUAAGAAGAGGGUAUGGAGAAAAGGAUACUAUAUAAGAAAGCAAAAUAAUAUACCCGCUAAAAAACCCACUGCCGUCGAGUCAAUUCCAAUUCAUACUGACCUUAUAGCAGACUAGAAACGCUCCAUAGAGUUUCCAGGGAGGGCCUGGCGGAUUUGAACUGCUGACCUCUUGGUUAGUAGUGGUAGCACUUAACCACUAUGCCACCACGGUUUCGCUGUAGUGACCGUUAAAAUGACCACUGAUCAGAGGGACUGUUAUGGAAAUUUCUUUUACUAUUGUUCCCCACAAAAGGUGAAAUAGUUAUAGUUAUUUUUUAGAUCCACUAGAGGGAGUAAUGCUGUACAGAUGUGUAUUUUUUAAUGAAAAAGGUUUAUCAUUGAGUUAGUAAAUAAAUGUGUGGUAAUCCUAUUAUCAGAAUUCAAUAGCUGUGAUAUUUUAAGUCUUGUUCUUUGUGAAUGUUGCUGCGAAGUUGCUUUAAACUAGAAACCAGGUUUUCAGUGACAGAGGGGAGUACUCUGUGUUUUCACACAUUUGUCCUGCUUCUUUCUCUCCCUUCUAAUAUAGUUCCUCAAUUUUCUAUUUCUGCUUACUGCCCUGAGGCAACUUUGAUAUGCAAAUAAGCUUUAGCAUGCAAAAAUGGAAGCUUUUGAGAUUCUGGCUUUAGUUUUUUUUUAGAGGUGAUGUGUUUGGUAUGGUAGCCCCAUGAUUAAAUGAUUCCAGCUUCACUUCUAUGCAGUUCUCAGGAGCAAGUAUUCUUAGGACUUGAGAACCUGUCCUUGGACACCCUGCCAGCCUUCCAGGGUCUGUGCUCCUGCUCUCCUGCAGAGCCAGAGAGGACCCCUGUUACUGACGGUGAAUGAUACUCCGAAACAGGAGACCUCUUUCAUGUAGCAAUGGCAAUAUGAAGUUUCAAAUUUGAAUGUGUUUUAAUUUUCAGGUCUUAAAAAAUUAAUCUGUAUGUGUGGUUUGAAAUAACUUAAGACUCACUGAAAACGUAAGUAUGUUUAUAAUGGAAAGCAUAGCACCAUGCUCAAAUUCCCCCUCCUCUCGUGUCACUCCUUGGAGCAAUCACUUUUUAAAAUUAAAAAAAAAUAAUAAGUUUUUAAUUAAAAUUUACAUGCAGUGAAAUGUACAGGUCUUGAGCCUUCAAAUCAAUUGGUUUUGAUAAAGUGGUGCAGCCAUGCAACCACCAAUGUACUCGAGAUACAGAUCAUCUCUUUCACACCAGAAAGUGCCCUCAUGCUAGUCAGACUUGCACUUCUGUGCAGGAAAGCAAAAUUAAUUCACCACGACGUUGUUAGUUGCCAUCAGGUAGAUUCCGAUUCCAACCCAAUGCCGUCGAGUCGAUUCCGACCCAGAGUUUCCAAGGAUGUGGUGACCACUAAAAUGACCAUUGGUCAGAGUGAGUGUUACAGAUUUUCUUUUUUACUAUUUUCCCAAAAGUGAAAUGGUUAGAAAUCUGUAUUUUUUUUUUUUUUAGAUGCACUAGAGGGAGUACUGUCAAACCUCCAUUUUUUUUAAUUACUUAUGAUUAGCGAUCCUAUAAGACAAAGUAGACCUGCCCCUCAUGGUUUCCAAGGAGCACCUGGUGGAUUUGAACUGCUGACCUUUUGGUUAGCAGCCAUAGCUCUUAACCACUACACCACCAGGGUUUCCAAUAUUGAUAUGUUGUUGUUAGGUGCCAUCAGUCAGUUCUGACUCAUAGCGACCCCAUGUACAACAGAACAAAAUGCUGCCUGGUUCUGCACCAUCCUCAUAAUUAUUGUUAUGCUUAAGCCCAUUGUUGCAGCCACUGUGUCAAUCCAUCUCAUUGAGGAUCUUCUUCUUUUUCUCUGACCCUCUACUUUACCAAGCAUGGUGUCCUUCUCCAGGGACUGAUCCCUCCUGAUAACAUGUCCAAAGUAUGUAAGACAUAGUCUCGCCAUCCUUGCUUCUAAAGAGCAUUCUGGUUAUACUGCUUCCAAGACAGAUUUGUUCCUUCUUUUGCAGUCUAUGGUAUAUUUAAUAUUCUUCUCCAACACCGUAAUUCAAAGACGUCAAUUCUUUUUUGGUGUUCUUUAUUCGUCCUUAGCUUUCACAUGCACAGGAAGCAAUUGAAAACACCAUGGCUUGGGUCAGGCACACCUUAGUCUUCAAGGUGACAUCUUUGCUUUUCAACACUUUAAAGAGGUCUUUUGCAGCAGAUUCGCCCAAUGCAAUGUGUGGUUUGAUUUCUUGACUGCUGCUUCCAUGGAUGUUGAUUAUGGACCCAAGUAAAAUGAAAUCCUUGACAACUUCAGGGUUUUCUCUGUUUAUCAUGAUGUUGCUUACUGGUCCUGUUGUGAGGAUUUUUGUUUUCUUUAUGUUGAGGUGUAAUCCAUACUGAAGACUGUGGUCUUUGAUCUUCAUCAGUAAGUGCUUCAAGUCCUCACCACUUUCAGCAGGCAAGGUAGUGUCAUCUGCAUAACACAGGUUGUUAAUGAGUCUUCCUCCAAUCCUUAUGCCACAUUCUUCAUAUAGUUCAGCCUCUCGGAUUGUUUGGUCAGCAUACAGAUUGAAUAGGUAUGGUGAAAGGAUACAACCUUGAUGCACACGUUUCCUGACUUUAAACCUCAUGGUAUCCCCUUGUUCUGUUCAAACGACUGCCUCUUGGUCUAUGUACAAGUUUAUCAUAAGCACAAUUAAGUGGUCUGGAAUUCCCAUUCUUCGCAGUAUUAUCCAUCAUUUGUUAUGAUCCACACAGUCAAAUGCCUUUGCAUAGUCAAUUAAACAGGGGUAAACAUCCCUCUGGUAGUCUCUGCUUUCAGCCAGGAUCUAUCUGACAUCAGCAAUGAUAUCCCUGCUUCCAUGUCUUCUUCUGAAUCUGGCUUGCAUUUCUGGCAGUUCCCUGUCAAUAUACUGCUGCCGCUGCUUUUGAAAAAUCCUCAGCGAAAUUUUACUUGCGUGUGAUGUUAAUGAUGUUAUUCGAUAAUUUCUGCAUUCGGUGGGAUCACCUUUCUUGGGAAUAGGCAUAAGUAUAGAUCUCUUCCAGUCGGUUGGCCAGGUAAGCUGUCUCCCAAAUUUCUUGGCAUACACAAUUGAGUACUUCCAGCGCUGCAUCUGUUUGUUGAAACAUCUCAAUCGGUAUUCCAUCAAUUCCUGGAGCCUUGUUUUUUGCCAGUGCCUUCAGUGCAGCUUGGACUUCUUCCUUCAGUACCAUUGGUUCCUGCUCAUAUGGUACCUCCUGAAAUGGUUGAAUGUCGACCAAUUAUUUUUGGUAUAGUGACUCUGUGUAUUCUUUCCAUCUGUUCUUGAUGCUUCCUGAGUCGUUUAAUAUUUUCCCCAUAGAAUCCUUCAAUAUUGUAACUCAAGGCUUGAAUUUUUUCUUCAGUUAUUUCUGCUUAAGAAAUGCCGAGCAUAUUCUUGCCUUUUGGUUUUCCAUCUCCAGGUCUUUGCACACGUCAUUACAAUACUUUACUUUGUUUUCUUGAGCCACCCUUUGAAAUCUUUUGUUCUACUCUUUUACUUCAUCAUUUCUUCCUUUUGCUUUAGCUACUCAAUGUUCAAGAGCAAAUUUCAGAGUCUCUUUUGACAUCCGUUUUGGUCUUUCCUUUCUUUCCUGCCCUUUUAAUGAUCUCUUGCUUUCUUCAUGUAUGAUAUCCUUGAUGUCAUUCCACAACUUGUCUGGUCUUUGGUCAUUAGUGUUCAACACAUCGAAUCUGUUCUUGAGAGGAUCUGUAAAUUCAGGCGGGAUAUACUCAAGGUCGUACUCUGGCUCUCGUGGACUUGUUCUAAUUUUCUUCAGUUUCAACUUGAACUUGCAUAUGAGCAAUUGAUGGUCUAUUCCACAGUUGGCCCCUGGCCUUGUUCUGACUGAUUAUAUUGAGCUUUUCCAUCGUCUCUUCCCACAGACAUAGUUGAUUUGAUUCCUAUGUAUUCCAUCUGGCGAGGUCCACGUGUAUAGUUGCCGUUUAUGUUGGUGAAAAAAGGUAUUUGCCAUGAAGAAAUCAUUGGUCUUGCAGAAUUCUAUUAUGAAAUCUCUGACAUCCUUUCUAUCACCAACGCCAUAUUUUCCAACUACUGUUUCUUCCUCUUUUUUCCAACUUUCGCAUUUCAAUCUCUGGUAAUUAUCAAUGCAUCCUGAUUACAUGUUUGAUCAAUUUCAGACUGCAGAAGCUGGUAAAAACUUCAGUUUCUUCAUCUUUGUCCUUAGUGGUUGGUGCAUAAAUUUGAAUAAUAUUCAUAUUAACUGGUCUUCCUUGUAGGCUAAUGGAUUUUAUCCUAUCACUGACAGCCUUGUACUUCAGGAUAGGUCUUGAAAUACUCUUUUUGACGAUGAAUGCAAUGCCAUGCCUCUUCAAGUUGUUGCUCCUGGCAUAGUAGACCCUAUGAUUGUCCAAUUCAAAACGGCCAACACUAGACCACUUCAUCUCACUAAUGCCUAGGAUAUCAAUGUUUAUGCAUUCCAUUUCGUUUUUGAUGACUUCCAAUUUUCCUAGGUUCAUGCUUCGUACAUUCCAUGUUCCAAUUAUUAAUGGAUGUUUGCACUGUUUCUUCUCAUUUUGAGUUGUGCUAUAGCAGCAGAUAGAUCUCUAAACCUUGACUCCAUCCAUGUCAUUAAGGUCAACUCUAGUUUGAGGAGGCAGCUCUUCCCCAGUCAUGUUUUGAGAGCAUUCCAACCUGAGAGGCUCAUCUUCCAGCACUAUAUCAAACAAUGUUCCACUGUUAUUCAUAAGGUUUUCACUGGCUAAAUCUUUCCAGAAGUAGACUGCCGUGUCCUUCUUCCUAGUCCAUCUUAGCCUGGAAGCUCAGCUGAAAACUGUCCGCCAUGGGUGAUCCUGCUGAUAUUUGAAUACCAGUGGCAUAGCUUCCAGCAUCACAGCAACAUGCAAACCCCCACAGUACGACAAACUGACAUACACUUGGAGGAAUUUUGAUAUAGUAUCUAAGAAAUCAUUGCUUAACCCAAGGCCAUGAAGAUUUAUGUUUUCUUAUAAAAGAUUUUUUAGUUUUAGGUCUUAAAUUUAAGUCUAUGAUCUAUUUUGAGUUAAAUUUUAUGUAUGGUUUAAGGUAGGACUCCGAAUUCAUCCUUUUGCAUGUGAAUAUCCAGUUGUUCCAGAACCAUUUGUUGAAAAGACUAGUCUUUCACCCAUUGAAUUGUGUCAGCACCUUUGUCAAAAAUCAGUUGACCAUAAAUAUAAGGGUUUAUUUCUGGAUUCUCAAUUUUGUUCCAUGAAUCUAAAUGUCUAAGUACAGCCAGGGUGCUCCUUAGAAGCAAGGAUGACAAGACUAUGUCUCGCAUAGUUUGGACGUAUUAUCAGGAGGGAUCAGUCCCUGGAGAAGGAUAUCAUGCUUGGUAAAGUAGAGGAUCAGCAAAAAAGAGGAAGACCCUCAAUGAGAUGGAUUGACACAGUGGCUGCAACAAUGGGCUUAAGCGUAACAAUGAUAGUAAGGAUGGCGCAGGACUGGGCAGUGUUUCAUUCUGUUGUACGUAGGGUUGCUAUGAGUUGGAAACGACUCAGUGGCACCUAAAAACAACAACGUACCAAUACCAUACUGUCUUGAUUACUGCAUCUUUGUAUUAAGUUUUGAAAUUGGAAAGGUAAGUUCUCCAACUUUGCUCUUCUUUUCCAAGAAUGUUUUAGCUAUUCUGAGCACUUCGCUUUUCUGUAUGGAUUUUAGGCCAGCUUGUCAAUUUCUGCUACCUUCCUUCCCCCACCCCAACCCCUAAAAAAAAAAAUGUCAGUUGAGAUUUCGAUAGAGAUUGCAUUGAGUCUUCGAUCAAUUUGGGGAGAAUUGCCAUCUUAAUAUUGAGUCUUCCAAUCCAUGAAAAUGAAAUAUUUCUCCAUUUAUAUGGAUCUUCUCCAAUUUUUUUCAACAAUGUUUUAUAAUUUUCAAUGUUAAAGUCUUAUACUUCUUUUGUUAAAUUUACUCCUAAGUAUUUUAUUCUUGUUGAUGCUAUUAUGAAUGGGACAACUUUCUUGAUUUUGUUUCAAUUGUUCAUUGCCAGUGUAUAGAAAUAGUUUCUUUUUUAUGUUGAUCUUCCAACCUGCCAGAUUGCUGAACUCCUUCAAUUCUAGUGAAUGUAGUGGAUUCCUUAUGAUUUUCUAUGUACAAGAUUAUGUUAUCUGAAACUGAAGAUAGGUUUACUUUUGCCUUUGUGGUCUGGAUGCCUUGUAUUUCUUUUUUUGUCUAAUUGCCUUUGCCAGAACUUCCAGUACAGUUUUGAAUAGAAGUGUAAAAAUGGAUAUCUUUGUCUUAUUCUCAAUCUUUUGGAGAAAAUCAUUCAGUCUUUUGGUAAGCAGAAAUUCUCAAUUUUGAUAAAGUCCAGCUUAUCAAUUUUUUUCUUUUGUAGUUAGUGUUUUUUGUAUUCUAAGAAAUCUUUUCCAACUUCAGGUUGUGAAGAUUUUCUGUAAAAGUUCUGUAGUUUAUCUUACAAGUUUAGGUCUAUUAUCCAUUUCAAAUUAAUUUUUGUGUAUAGGGUGAGGUAGGGGUAGAGGUUCUUUUUAUAGGUAUAAAAAAAAUUUUUUUUUUUUUUUUUUUUAGGUAUAGAUGCAGAUAUAUUUAGAUAUCCAGUUGUUCCAGCAUCAUUUGUUGAAAAGACUGUCCUUUCCUCCAUUGAAUAACAUUUGCACCUUUGUUGAAACAUGUGAUGGUUAAUGCUAUAUGUCAACUUGGUUAGGGUGUGAUUCUCAGUGGUUUGACAGAUCACUUUCCAUUCUGUGAUCUCAUGUGAGCAGCCAGUCAGUUGAAAGGGGAGUUUCCUUGGGAUUGUGGCCUGUCUUCAGUAUAUAAAUGGAUGUUCUGGCAAAGCGCGUUCUCUUUCUUGACCCUGCACUCUUCUCCUCGCCUAAUCUCCAUUUCUUUGGAAGUAAGCCUACAGAAGUCUUUGGCCUGGUCUGACCUGCAGAUUUUGGAUUUGCCAACCCCCACAACCAUAUGAACAAGCAGAGGUCUCCAGCCUGCCCUCUGACCUGCAGAUUUUGGAUUCACCAGUCCCUGCAACCACGUGAGCCAGCAGAGGUCUUCAGCCUGUUGCCUGACCCAUGGAUUUGGGACUUCCCAGCUCCCCCCCUACUUGAGUUAGCCAUUUCCUCACAAUUGAGUGAGCCAUUUCUGUGAAGUAAAUUUUCUCUCUAUAUAUAUUUAUAUACACCUGACUAAUUUUGUUUCUCUAGAGAACCCAAACUAAGAAAAAAAGCAAAUAAAUUUACAAGUGUCAGCAUUACAUGUAUGUUAGGAUUAUGUUAACCUCAUAAAAUGAGUUUGAAAGUAUUCUCUAUUUUCUGUAGAAGUUUCUGUAAGAUUGGUAUUAUUUCUUAAUCUUAAAUAAUUGAUAAAAUUUACCAGCAAAAUUAUAUGAGCCUGGAAUUUUCUUUUUGGGGAGGUUUUUGGUUAUGAGUUCAAUUUUUGAAUAGAUACAGGGUUAUUCAGGUUCUCUAUUUCUCUUUGAGUUUCUUUAGGUAGGUUGUCUUUUUCGAGAAAUUUAUCGAUUUCAUUUAAGUUGUCAAAUUCAUUGUCACAACGUUGUUUAUAUUACUACCUUAUUUUCCUUUUAAUUUUUUGUAAGAUUUUUAAUUCUAUCCCUUUUUCAUUCCUGAUAUUGGCAAUUUCUGUCUUAUCUCUUUUUUUCUUGAUUAGUCUUAUGAUUUUUAUCAAUUUAUUAAUCUUUUUAAAGAACUAACUUUUGGCUUUGUUAAUUUUCUCUUUUUUAUUUUGUAGUUGUUCUUCUAGCUUCUUAAAGUGUUAGCUUAGAACAUUGAUUUUAAACCUUUCUUCUUUCCUAAUAUAUAUAUUUAAAUGAUAAAUUUCUCUUUUUUAACUGCAGUAUUCUGAUUUUGUAUGUUAUGUUUAACACAGUUGUAUUCAGUUUUCAAUAUGUUCUGAUUUCCAUUAUGAUUUCCUCUUCAAUCUAAAGGUUAUUUAAAAGUGCGCUGUUUAAUUUCUAAAUACUUGGUGGUUUUCUAGAUGUCUUAUUAUUACUGAUUUAUAACUUUAUUCUAUUGUGGUCAGAGAACAUACUCUGAGAGUUCAAGCUUUUGAAAUUUAUUGAGACUUAAGCCCCAAAACAUGGUCUUAUCUUGGUGAAUGUUCCAUGUGCACUUGAAAAAAUGGGUACUCUGUAUUUGAUAGGGAUAAAAAAACAAACAAAAAAACGCAUUGCUGUUGAGUCUUUUCUGACUCACAGUGACCCUGUAGGACAGUGUAGACCUGCCCCAUAGGAUUUCCAAGGAGCUUUUACUGAUGGAUUCAAACUGCCAACCUUUUGGUUAGCAGCCGAGCUCUUAACCACUGCACCACCAGGGCUGUUAAUUAAAUGAAGUUGUUUGACAGUGUGCAAAAUUUCAGUUUACUCAUUCUAUCAAUUACUGAGAAAAAGGUUGUUAAAAUAUCAAACUAUGAAUGUGAAUUUGUCUAUUUAUCCCUUAACUUCAGUAAGUUUUUGCUUCCUAUAAUUUGA